CCUACGGGCCGCACCAGUGGGGGAUAUUGCACAAUGGGCGCAAGCCUGAUGCAGCCAUGCCGCGUGUAUGAAGAAGGCCUUCGGGUUGUAAAGUACUUUCAGCGGGGAGGAAGGUGUUAUGGUUAAUAACCGCAGCAAUUGACGUUACCCGCAGAAGAAGCACCGGCUAACUCCGUGCCAGCAGCCGCGGUAAUACGGAGGGUGCAAGCGUUAAUCGGAAUUACUGGGCGUAAAGCGCACGCAGGCGGUCUGUCAAGUCGGAUGUGAAAUCCCCGGGCUCAACCUGGGAACUGCAUUCGAAACUGGCAGGCUAGAGUCUUGUAGAGGGGGGUAGAAUUCCAGGUGUAGCGGUGGAAUGCGUAGAGAUCUGGAGGAAUACCGGUGGCGAAGGCGGCCCCCUGGACAAAGACUGACGCUCAGGUGCGAAAGCGUGGGGAGCAAACAGGAUUAGAUACCCGCGUAGUC
rnacentral:rRNA from 1 species